rnacentral:tRNA from 1 species
ACUAUUUUGGCAGAUUAGUGCAAUAAAUUUAGAAUUUAUAUUAUAUAGAUUUUCUAUAAAUAGUAC